rnacentral:rRNA from 1 species
AGAGUUGAUCCUGGCUCAGGAUGAACGCUGGCGGCGUGCCUAAUACAUGCAAGCGUACGAGGGAAGUCCAGCUUGCUGGACGGAACGAGUGGCGAACGGGUGGGUAAUACGUAAGCAACCUGCCUGCAAGGACUGGGAUAACACCUGGAAACGGGCGCUAAUACCGGAUAGGUAACAAAGGGGCAUCCCUAUGUUAUUAAAGGUUAGAAACACAAGCAGAUGGGCUUACGGUGCAUUAGCUAGUUGGUGAGGUAACGGCCCACCAAGGCGAUGAUGCAUAGCCGGCCUGAGAGGGUGAACGGCCACAUUGGGACUGAGACACGGCCCAGACUCCUACGGGAGGCAGCAGUAGGGAAUUUUCGGCAAUGGACGAAAGUCUGACCGAGCAACGCCGCGUGAGUGAAGAAGGUUUUCGGAUUGUAAAGCUCUGUUGUAAGGGAAGAACAGCACGGAAAGAAUCCGUGAAUGACGGUACCUUACCAGAAAGCCACGGCUAACUACGUGCCAGCAGCUGC